AAAAGAGGGGUAUGUGACACUGCAAUGUAUCUGGCAGAGGAGCAGGUCUCUCGCAGAGAAGCAGCUUUUCCACGUGUCGCCCAUUCAGAGCCAAAGCCUGUUCUGUCAGUUUUAAAGUGCCAUAUAUUUGGUGCCUGUUAGUGGCUGAAAGAGCUAAUCCUGCCUGCCUGUGUGCGGAGUUUCAAGUGCAGCCACAGCUCGGAGCCAGGCUACAAACCAGAGUGUUUUGCACUGCAGCGUGAUAAUUCGCACUAUCUUAUGGAGAGGGCUUUCCUUUACAAAAUACCAUUUAAGAAUGGCAUAAUGAUUACUCAUCACUCCAGCAAAGGGCUACUCUGUUCUCUUUACAACACAGCAGCCAGGACUGCCGAGAGCUUUACUCAAUAUCGCCCCCCCCGUCCACAGUCCGGUUGAAGUACCACUUAAUCAGCAUUUGGUUCUCCAUCAGCAAAAGCCUGCAUGCCGUUUGCCAAAUGAGGUAAAAAAUGUCACACGUUUACCUGUCCUACAUAAGGAUGGUGUGCGCCCUGGUGGUCGUGGAGGUGUCUGUCACUCAGCAGUAAGCGGAAAGUGGAGGUGAGGUAACCAAAGAGUGGCUGCUCGACCCCGCUGAUCACUACAUGGACCCCCAUUCGACCUAAGUGCGUUUAUGCGUUUCCUAUGACCAGCUGAGUGAUGUUAGAAAUUAUAGGUUUGUGCAACAGGAGAGUAUUUGAGCUUUUGAAGGGGGGUUGGGGCUACGGUGGCAGAAAUGCCAACUAAGACAUAAUUGUGCUAUUGGCCAAAACCACUAUAAAAACAGCAUAGUAGAUAUUUAACUUUUGCCACUCCAGAUUUUGCCAAAAGUCUAGCCCGGAAGAAUGAUCUUCUAUCGGCACCGUUUGGCGCUUGUUUUCCGUCAACACAGAGCAGCAGGCGUGGAAAAAUCCCACCACAACUAUUAAUCAUUCGGGGCGGACAUAGACAGCAUCCCACUCCCACACCAGCCUUUGUCUUCUCAAACUACAACUUGAGCGAUGUGGAGCUGUCACUAUGAUUUUAUGGCUGGACAUGACCGUGCUCUGGAAGUUAAUCCCAUGUUGCCUUUCGCCACCGCACCUGAACUUUUCCCUGACCCGAGCAGAAGCAGAGAGUCGAGUGCGAACUUAUUUUGGGAUCACAAACAAGGAGACGAUGGAAACCAAAGGCCCUCAGCUGGUAGUCUACUUUUUUCACAUUUGCCCUUUCCUCAAAAGUAAUAGUUGAGCAAUUAUGUUUUUAAGUUUAAACUUUGUUUUGCAUGAAACAAAUGUAGAGUUAUUUACACAAAUCAAGGUUCCUGAUCACUGUCAGCGAAGAGGAGUUAGAGGCGCAGACCUCUGGAUGUUGGCCAGACGGCGGUCCAUAUCUUCCCACAAUGUUGACACUCGGAGCUCUUAACAGCCAGGCUUGGGUUACGGAUACACUCAGACAAAGAUAACUCUUUCUGCGAGGUUUACAUCGGCCAGUAUCAAGGCUAAUGCGAAAUUCAACGCCUUAAGCAAACUUGGAAACAUCGCUCAUGAAGGCAGACUGACUAGGACAACUUAAUUGUUUGCGUAAAGGUGGUUGUAAUAAAGCAAUUUUCAUGUUGAACUAA